AAGUGGGAUCAUCACUUCUGUUCCAUAAGUCAGAUUGAAUGACGAUUCUCUCAUUGGUAUACGAGGAGUUGUUUGGUAUGCCCAUAGGAUCAGAUAUUGUUCUUCCAUCCAGAGGUCUUUAACUUCAUUCAGUCUGAUUUUGAGUCCAUGCAAGAUUGUUCGGUUUGUCACUUCUAUUUCAUCGUUGGAUUGUGAAUGAUCGACUGAUAUGAGUUUAUGCAUAAUAUAGAAUUUCGUACAAAAUUUUUUGAAGUUCUGAUUAUCGAAUUAUUGACCAUUGUCAGUGAUGAUAGUAUAUGGUAGACC
rnacentral:lncRNA from 1 species